rnacentral:rRNA from 1 species
UACGAAGGGGGCUAGCGUUGCUCGGAAUCACUGGGCGUAAAGCGCACGUAGGCGGAUCUUUAAGUCAGGGGUGAAAUCCUGGAGCUCAACUCCAGAACUGCCUUUGAUACUGGGGAUCUCGAGUCCGGGAGAGGUGAGUGGAACUGCGAGUGUAGAGGUGAAAUUCGUAGAUAUUGGGAAGAACACCAGUGGCGAAGGCGGCUAACUGGUCCAGCACUGACGCUGAGGUGCGAAAGCGUGGGGAGCAAACAGG